rnacentral:rRNA from 1 species
UUCGCAAUGCCCGAAAGGGUGACGAUGCGACGCCGCGUGAGCGAAGAAGGCCCUAGGGUUGUAAAGCCCUGUCAGGAGUUAAGAAAUGUAAGUGUGCUAAUAUCGCAUUUACUUGACGAAGGCUCCAAAGGAAGUCACGGCUAACUCUGUGCCAGCAGCCGCGGUAAUACAGAGGUGGCAAGCGUUGUUCGGAAUUAUUGGGCGUAAAGAGCACGUAGGUGGGUUUGUAAGUCAGAUGUGAAAGCCUCCUGUUCAACGGGAGAAUUGCAUCUGAAACUGAGAAUCUUGAGUGUAGGAGGGGAGAAUGGAACUUCUGGUGGAGCGGUGAAAUGCGUAGAUAUCAGAAGGAACGCCGGCGGCGAAAGCGAUUCUCUGGCCUAUUACUGACACUCAGUGUGCGAAAGCUAGGGGAGCAAACGGGAUUAGAUACCCCGGUAGUCCUAGCCGUAAACGAUGGGCACUAAGUAGAGGGGUUUU